AGAGUUUGAUCCUGGCUCAGAACGAACGUUGGCGGCGUGGAUUAGGCAUGCAAGUCGAACGAAUCUCAUCUGGUGUAGCAAUACAUUGGGUGGGGGAAGUGGCGAAAGGGGCAGUAAUGCGUGGGUAACCUACCCUAGGGACGAGGAUAGCCAUCCUAACGGAUGGAUAAUACUCGGCGUUAUGAUCGGGAGGCAUCUUCUGGUCAUGAAAUGAAUUUCGCCCUGGGAGGGGCUCACGUCGUAUUAGCUAGUUGGUAGGGUAACGGCCUACCAAGGCUAAGAUGCGUAGCGGGUGUGAGAGCACGACCCGCGCCACUGGCACUGAGACACUGGCCAGACACCUACGGGUGGCUGCAGUCGAGGAUCUUUGGCAAUGGGCGCAAGCCUGACCAAGCGACGCCGCGUGUGCGAUGAAGGCCUUCGGGUUGUAAAGCACUGUCGAGGGGGAGGAAGCCGAAAGGUUGACCUAUCCCUGGAGGAAGCACGGGCUAAGUUCGUGCCAGCAGCCGCGGUAAGACGAACCGUGCGAACGUUGUUCGGAAUCACUGGGCUUAAAGGGCGCGUAGGCGGGUGAGCAAGUCCAGGGUGAAAUCCUCCGGCUUAACCGGAGAAGUGCCUUGGAUACUGCUUGUCUCGAGGGAGGUAGGGGUCAUCGGAACUUCUGGUGGAGCGGUGAAAUGCGUUGAUAUCAGAAGGAACGCCGGUGGCGAAAGCGGAUGACUGGACCUCUUCUGACGCUGAGGCGCGAAAGCUAGGGGAGCGAACGGGAUUAGAUACCCCGGUAGUCCUAGCCCUAAACGUUGGGUACUA
rnacentral:rRNA from 1 species